GACGAACGCUGGCGGCGUGCUUAACACAUGCAAGUCGAACGGAAAGGCCCUGCUUUUGUGGGGUGCUCGAGUGGCGAACGGGGGAGUAACACGUGAGUAACCUGCCCUUGACUUUGGGAGAACUUCAGGAAACUGGGGCUAAUACCGGAUAGGAGCUCCUGCUGCAUGGUGGGGGUUGGAAAGUUUCGGCGGUUGGGGAUGGACUCGCGGGUUAUCAGCUUGUUGGUCAGGUAGUGACUUACCAAGCCUUUGACGGGUAGCCGGCCUGAGAGGGUGACCGGGCACAUUGGGCCUGAGAUACGGCGCAGUCGCCUACGGGAGGCAGCAGUGGAGAAUAUUGCACAGUGGGCGGAAGCCUGUGGCAGAGACGCCGCGUGCGGGAUGACGGCCUUCGGGUUGUAAACCGCUGUCGCCUGUGACGAAGCGUGAGUGACGGUAAUGAGUAAAGAAGCACCGGCUAACUACGUG
rnacentral:rRNA from 1 species